rnacentral:rRNA from 1 species
UACGUAGGGUGCAAGCGUUGUUCGGAGUUACUGGGCGUAAAGAGUGCGUAGGUGGUGCCCUAAGUCUGUUGUGAAAUCUCCCGGCUUAACUGGGAGGGUGCGGUGGAAACUGGGGUGCUUGAGUGUGGGAGAGGUAAGCGGAAUUCCUGGUGUAGCGGUGAAAUGCGUAGAUAUCAGGAGGAACACCGGUGGUGUAGACGGCUUACUGGACCACGACUGACACUGAGGCACGAAAGCGUGGGUAGCAAACAGG